rnacentral:rRNA from 1 species
GACGAACGCUGGCGGCGUGCUUAACACAUGCAAGUCGAGCGGAAAGGCCCUGCGUUUUUGGCGUGCUGGGAAGGGGAGAGGGUGAGGAACACAAGAUUAACCUGCCCUUGACAUUAGGAUAGCAUCAGGGAACUAGGGCUAAUACCGGAUCAGAUCUCCUGCUGCAUUGUGUGGAAAGGAAAUUUUCGGCGGUUGGGGAUGGACUCGCGGCUUAUCAGCUUGUUGGUGGGGUAGUGGCUUACCAAGGCUGUGACGGGUAGCCGGCCUGAGAGGGUGACCGGCCACAUUGGGACUGAGAUACGGCCCAGACUCCUACGGGAGGCAGCAGUGGGGAAUAUUGCACAAUGGGCGGAAGCCUGAUGCAGCGACGCCGCGUGCGGGAUGACGGCCUUCGGGUUGUAAACCGCUUUCGCCUGUGACGAAGCGUGAGUGACGGUAAUGGGAAAAGAAGCACCGGCUAACUACGUG